rnacentral:ncRNA from 14 species
CCAACGGCCCUCUUUAGGGCCACAAUUAUCCACAAAGUCCAAUUGU